UACGUAGGGUGCAAGCGUUGUCCGGAAUUAUUGGGCGUAAAGAGCUCGUAGGCGGUCUGUCGCGUCUGCUGUGAAAACCCGAGGCUCAACCUCGGGCCUGCAGUGGCUACGGGCAGACUAGAGUGCGGUAGGGGAGAUUGGAAUUCCUGGUGUAGCGGUGGAAUGCGCAGAUAUCAGGAGGAACACCGAUGGCGAAGGCAGAUCUCUGGGCCGUAACUGACGCUGAGGAGCGAAAGCGUGGGGAGCGAACAGG
rnacentral:rRNA from 1 species